rnacentral:miRNA from 1 species
UGUCUCCCUCCUCUCUCUUUCUCCCUCUCUCUUUCUCUCUCUCACAGGUGCCAGUGUCAUUUUUGUGAUCUGGAGCUAGUAUUCUCACUCCAGUUGCAUAGUCACAAAAAUGAUCAUUGGCAGCUGUGGCCCGCGCAUGGA